rnacentral:rRNA from 1 species
GAUGAACGCUGGCGGCGUGCCUAAUACAUGCAAGUCGAGCGAACAGACGAGGAGCUUGCUCCUCUGACGUUAGCGGCGGACGGGUGAGUAACACGUGGAUAACCUACCUAUAAGACUGGGAUAACUUCGGGAAACCGGAGCUAAUACCGGAUAAUAUAUUGAACCGCAUGGUUCAAUAGUGAAAUACGGUUUUGCUGUCACUUAUAGAUGGAUCCGCGCCGCAUUAGCUAGUUGGUAAGGUAACGGCUUACCAAGGCAACGAUGCGUAGCCGACCUGAGAGGGUGAUCGCCCACACUGGAACUGAGACACGGUCCUGACUCCUACGGGAGGCAGCAGUAGGGAAUCUUCCGCAAUGGGCGAAAGCCUGACGGAGCAACGCCGCGUGAGUGAUGAAGGUCUUCGGAUCGUAAAACUCUGUUAUUAGGGAAGAACAAAUGUGUAAGUAACUAUGCACGUCUUGACGGUACCUAAUCAGAAAGCCACGGCUAACUACGUG